GAUGAACGCUAGCGGCAGGCCUAACACAUGCAAGUCGAGGGAGGAGCUUUCGGGCUUCGACCGGCGUACGGGUGCGUAACGCGUAUACAAUCUGCCUUUCACAUAGGGAUAGCCCGAAGAAAUUUGGAUUAAUACCUAAUGGUAUAUAGGAGUGGCAUCACAUUUAUAUUAAAGCUGAGGCGGUGAAAGAUGAGUAUGCGUUCUAUUAGCUAGUUGGAGAGGUAACGGCUCCCCAAGGCGACGAUAGAUAGGGGUUCUGAGAGGGAUAUCCCCCACACUGGUACUGAGAUACGGACCAGACUCCUACGGGAGGCAGCAGUGAGGAAUAUUGGACAAUGGUCGGAAGACUGAUCCAGCCAUGCCGCGUGCAGGAAGACGGCCUUAUGGGUUGUAAACUGCUUUUGCAGGGGAAGAAUAAGGACUACGAGUAGUUUGAUGACGGUACUCUGCGAAUAAGCAUCGGCUAACUCCGUGCCAGCAGCCGCGGUAAUACGGAGGAUGCGAGCGUUAUCCGGAAUCAUUGGGUUUAAAGGGUCCGUAGGCGGGCUAAUAAGUCAGAGGUGAAAGCGCUCAGCUCAACUGAGCAACUGCCUUUGAAACUGUUAGUCUUGAAUGGUUGUGAAGUAGUUGGAAUGUGUAGUGUAGCGGUGAAAUGCUUAGAUAUUACACAGAACACCGAUAGCGAAGGCAUAUUACUAACAAUUAAUUGACGCUGAUGGACGAAAGCGUGGGGAGCGAACAGG
rnacentral:rRNA from 1 species